rnacentral:rRNA from 1 species
UACAGAGGGGGCAAGCGUUAUUCGGAAUUAUUGGGCGUAAAGGGCGCGUAGGCGGCUUGGCAAGUGGAAGGUGAAAUCCCUCGGCUUAACCGAGGAACUGCCUUCCAGACUGCUUUGCUUGAGGCCGGGAGAGGCGAGUGGAAUUCCCAGUGUAGCGGUGAAAUGCGUAGAUAUUGGGAGGAACACCAGUGGCGAAGGCGGCUCGCUGGACCGGUUCUGACGCUGAGGCACGAAAGCGUGGGGAGCAAACAGG